GAUGCUGAUUGGAAGGCCGGGAGACGCACAAAAGAGUCAUUGGAAGGUGGAGACUGUGAAGCUGAUUCAAACGCCGGUGACCACACAUCCAAAAUGAGGGCGCAACCCCCACACUGUGCAACCCCUCCACAACACCCUGAUUGCCCAUCCCCCCAAACCAGACACGAUAGUCAGUGGAGCAGCACACCGCCAAUGCCACCAAAGAGAGAAACAUGUGCCAGCCAGGUAACUGGGCCAGGUCGACCAACCGCCCCAAGCCCCGAGCACAACCUGCCAGCCACCCCAGUGCAGGUACAAGACGUGCUCCACCACUCCACCCAGCCAAAUGCGACCGCAGCCCGGGGCCAGGCUGAGAGCCAGAGCCACAGAAGGAAGCAUAGGAGGAAGGUCACCACUGCACACCAAAGACCCCGGAAAACCCCACGCCCCAACUCCGGAGGCACCCCAGCACACCGGCUGCACACACUCCCACAUUGUUUGGUGUGGCAUACCCCGCCACACCAAGCAGGCCAGCCAGCCCCUCCACCAAAGCGAAGCCACAUCCUGAUCACUGCCGCACAGUGCCCGGCCAAGACCCCCCGCUGGAACACAGAUACAAAACACUCUGACCUCUUGUAGGUACACAACAUCACUCUGGCGAGUACAACUUGACACAUGGUCAGAACAAUACAACCCAUGGUAGACGGCUACUUUUUGUACCUGAACAAGUCAGUCAUGUUACAUCGAAAGGGAGGGCCCCUGUGUGGUUGAGCUACAGGUCACUGCUGAACUACAGAUGAAGGUCUGUCAGAUGAUAUCAAGGAUGAAAUUGCUACUCGGGACCCUCCCAAGACCCUCGAGGCCUUAGAAAGGCUGGCCACACGGAUUGACCAACGCCUUCGUGAACGAAACCACCACGACAGGAUCAUGUUUCUGCUAACCAGGUCUCCAGAGAUUCCUGUGAUUCUGGGAUGCCCCUGGCUCAUCAAACACAGUCCAGUCAUCAACUGGCUCACUGGUAUUACUAGGACCCUGGCAGUGGUCCAGUCAGGAUUCUGGUUGCCCACACUCAGAAAGGACACGCGAGAGUUUGUGUCAGCAUGUACCACCUGCUCCAGAGUUAAGCCCUCAAGAUGCCCUCCAGCCGGACUACUAAGGCCUCUUCCUAUUCCGACCAUGGUCCCACAUCUCUAUGGAUUUUGUCACCGGCCUACCUCCUUCUCAUGGUAACACUGUACUCCUCACUGUGGUUGACAGAUUUUCCAAGAUGACCCACCUCAUUCCUCUCCGCAAGUUACCCUCAGCUCCUGUACUCGCUGAUGUAAUAACCCGAGAGGUGUUUAGACUUCAUGGCAUUCCCCGUAACACCGUUUCAGAUAGAGGACCUCAGUUCAUUUCCCGUUUCUGGGGAAGGGGUUACCCAGGUUCCUGCUGCCCAUUUAACGGCACGUCGUUGUCUCAGAGUCUGGAGAAAGGCCAGAGCAUCUCUCUGCAAGACCUCAGCUGUCUAUGCCUGUAAUGCUAACCGUCACAGAUCUCAAGCUCCAAGACACCUGGUGGGUCAGAAGGUCUGGUUAUCCACUAAGGAUUUACCCAUCAAGGUCAACCUGACCUCACGUUGCUGAAACCUGCCUGUCUCUGACUCUGU